GGCCUUAGCUCAGCUGGGAGAGCACCUGCUUUGCAAGCAGGGGGUCAGCGGUUCGAUCCCGCUAGGC
rnacentral:tRNA from 2 species